rnacentral:lncRNA from 1 species
CGCACCCAGCCCAAACGCUACAGAGCCCAGAAUAACAAAGACAACAACGCUGGGCCUGAGAAGUCUGGACUCUGAAAAUAAACAUGAACCAAAGGUCCAAAAUCCAACAAAAGCCCGGCCCAGAACCUAUCUCAAGCUUGGGCUUCAAAGAAACUAAAUUGGGCUUGGCAUGAUCAAAGUAAAAAGUAGAAACCCAAAAGGGAACAGACCCACAUGAUUAUUUUUCUCUGACUUAGAAAAGUCAAAAUCAACUAGGUUGAUAAGAGAGUUGACAGAGGCAGGCAGAAAGAAAGGUUGAUUAAAACCCUUUUUAUAUAUUCAGAGAUAUUGUUUCUACUCCAAAGAAAGCAC